rnacentral:rRNA from 1 species
UUGCCCAGACAACUAGGAUGUUGGCUUAGAAGCAGCCAUCAUUUAAAGAGUGCGUAAUAGCUCACUAGUCGAGUGACACUGCGCCGAAAAUGUACCGGGGCUAAACAUAUUACCGAAGCUGUGGAUUGUCCUUUGGACAAUGGUAGGAGAGCGUUCUAAGGGCGUUGAAGCAUGAUCGUAAGGACAUGUGGAGCGCUUAGAAGUGAGAAUGCCGGUGUGAGUAGCGAAAGACGGGUGAGAAUCCCGUCCACCGAUUGACUAAGGUUUCCAGAGGAAGGCUCGUCCGCUCUGGGUUAGUCGGGUCCUAAGCUGAGGCCGACAGGCGUAGGCGAUGGAUAACAGGUUGAUAUUCCUGUACCACCUAUAAUCGUUUUAAUCGAUGGGGGGACGCAGUAGGAUAGGCGAAGCGUGCGAUUGGAUUGCACGUCUAAGCAGUAAGGCUGAGUAUUAGGCAAAUCCGGUACUCGUUGAGGCUGAGCUGUGAUGGGGAGAAGACAUUGUGUCUUCGAGUCGUUGAUUUCACACUGCCGAGAAAAGCCUCUAGAUAGAAAAUAGGUGCCCGUACCGCAAACCGACACAGGUAGUCAAGAUGAGAAUUCUAAGGUGAGCGAGCGAACUCUCGUUAAGGAACUCGGCAAAAUGACCCCGUAACUUCGGGAGAAGGGGUGCUCUUUAGGGUUAACGCCCAGAAGAGCCGCAGUGAAUAGGCCCAAGCGACUGUUUAUCAAAAACACAGGUCUCUGCUAAACCGUAAGGUGAUGUAUAGGGGCUGACGCCUGCCCGGUGCUGGAAGGUUAAGAGGAGUGGUUAGCUUCUGCGAAGCUACGAAUCGAAGCCCCAGUAAACGGCGGCCGUAACUAUAACGGUCCUAAGGUAGCGAAAUUCCUUGUCGGGUAAGUUCCGACCCGCACGAAAGGCGUAACGAUUUGGGCACUGUCUCAACGAGAGACUCGGUGAAAUCAUAGUACCUGUGAAGAUGCAGGUUACCCGCGACAGGACGGAAAGACCCCGUGGAGCUUUACUGUAGCCUGAUAUUGAAAUUCGGCACAGCUUGUACAGGAUAGGUAGGAGCCUUUGAAACGUGAGCGCUAGCUUACGUGGAGGCGCUGGUGGGAUACUACCCUAGCUGUGUUGGCUUUCUAACCCGCACCACUUAUCGUGGUGGGAGACAGUGUCAGGCGGGCAGUUUGACUGGGGCGGUCGCCUCCUAAAAGGUAACGGAGGCGCUCAAAGGUUCCCUCAGAAUGGUUGGAAAUCAUUCAUAGAGUGUAAAGGCAUAAGGGAGCUUGACUGCGAGACCUACAAGUCGAGCAGGGUCGAAAGACGGACUUAGUGAUCCGGUGGUUCCGCAUGGAAGGGCCAUCGCUCAACGGAUAAAAGCUACCCCGGGGAUAACAGGCUUAUCUACCCCAAGAGUUCACAUCGACGGGGAGGUUUGGCACCUCGAUGUCGGCUCAUCGCAUCCUGGGGCUGUAGUCGGUCCCAAGGGUUGGGCUGUUCGCCCAUUAAAGCGGUACGCGAGCUGGGUUCAGAACGUCGUGAGACAGUUCGGUCCCUAUCCGUCGUGGGCGUAGGAAAUUUGAGAGGAGCUGUCCUUAGUACGAGAGGACCGGGAUGGACAUACCUCUGGUGUACCAGUUGUCGUGCCAACGGCAUAGCUGGGUAGCUAUGUGUGGAUGGGAUAAGUGCUGAAAGCAUCUAAGCAUGAAGCCCCCCUCAAGAUGAGAUUUCCCAACUUCGGUUAUAAGAUCCCUCAAAGAUGAUGAGGUUAAUAGGUUCGAGGUGGAAGCAUGGUGACAUGUGGAGCUGACGAAUACUAAUCGAUCGAAGACUUAAUCAA